rnacentral:rRNA from 1 species
UGGGGAAUAUUGGACAAUGGGGGGAACCCUGAUCCAGCCAUGCCGCGUGUGUGAAGAAGGCCGUAUGGUUGUAAAGCACUUUAAGCGAGGAGGAGGGUACUGGUAUUAAUACUACCAGCUACUGGACGUUACUCGCAGAAUAAGCACCGGCUAACUCUGUGCCAGCAGCCGCGGUAAUACAGAGGGUGCGAGCGUUAAUCGGAUUUACUGGGCGUAAAGCGUGCGUAGGCGGCUAAUUGAGUCGGAUGUGAAAUCCCCGAGCUUAACUUGGGAAUUGCAUUCGAUACUGGUUAGCUAGAGUGUGGGAGAGGAUGGUAGAAUUCCAGGUGUAGCGGUGAAAUGCGUAGAGAUCUGGAGGAAUACCGAUGGCGAAGGCAGCCAUCUGGCCUAACACUGACGCUGAGGUACGAAAGCAUGGGGAGCAAACAGG